GCGGUCGGUAACGUUGCAAGCGAUGAAUGAAUAGUUUGUGUGUAGCUUCUGUCCAUUCGAGGAAUAUUCGAUAGAUGGACAUGUGAAAUGUUGCUUGUUUUGGAUUACGCGUUACAGCGUAUUAUUGGACCAAACAAAUAAUGUUUGCUAUAAUUAGGUCUUGUAGUUACUGUAUGUGGUAGUUCCAACAGCUAUAUACGGCUUUUGCAGUGAGCAAAUUUAAGCAAACAGUUUGUUGUUGAAAUUGCAUGAAUCUGCUGAUCUGUUAGCUUUAUUUGUUUUAUGUUGAAUCAAUCAUCUAAGGAUCGUGGCUUCUAAUAUGCGAGGCUUAUGACAAGCGCUCUUUACCACAUUUGAGCUUGAGCUUGUGCGACCACCCCUGGCUGCUACUCCGUUACCAAUCUGUACCAGCUGAAGUUGCACAGGGAAUCAGUAGAUAAUUAUGCAUGGGGUAGCGAAACAUCUUUCAAUGUGCAACUCCUGGUAAUCCUGGAAUUAGACCGAUAUUUGCUUUUGCUAGAGGCCGUAUAUACUACUGCACACUCCACAAGUAUCACGGAAAGAGGAUAUUUGUUAGUAAGUAUAGAAGUUCAUGAUCGACGCCAGAGAGGUGGCUCCACUAUCUGGACUAGAUAUCAAUCCAUCAACUCAUGGACCGGGGACCAACAUCUUUACUCCCCUUCCGAAGGAAGACGCGACCACAAAUUUUUUCACCUCAGCAAAAUUUCAACGACCUCGACUGGGAUUGAACCCAGGCCAACUGGAAUGAGUGGUGGUCCCGCUUACCACUCAACCACCGGCGCCGUCACAAAUACGUAUUCACUUUACAAUUUGUUACAGUUAGUCAAAUCCAAUCUGACGCUGAAGACGUAUAGUGAUCUGAAUGAUUUCGCUAUAGCAGGUCUAUUAGUUCUACUACAUCAGGAAGUAUUUGCUGUCAAACUGAGUAGAUACGUGAAUACCAGCUACCAUUUGCCCAAACAAAUGCCGUCAGUUAGUAGACUUUCGGAUGGUCUACUAGGACGAGGCCACCUUUGAAUAGACAUCCUUUACCUUUCACUGAUUAAGCUCUACCAUAGAGACCAUCACAGCUUCCCUGUUAGAGUCGCUAUUUUCAGAAAACACCAAAGAAGAAUUAAGAGAAAAGCUAGCACAAGUCCAAGUAGAUGUUGACACUGAAGGUCAGCCUGUUGAUAUACGAUAACAUCGAAGACUGCAUAUCAAGAAGACUGGUAAUUCUGUCCAGAAUCUGGAGACAGUAACAGCCACGCCACUUGCAGGUAAAGAAACGAUGCAACCCCUGUCGCUUCUGGUUUGUAUAGGGAAAGGAAAGAGAUAUCAGUCUUCCUAAUGUGUAGUCUUCGACAACAUGCUGUGUUUCUCAGUCUUUGGCAGGUUUCACUCAAGGAAGUCACCUAGGACAAUGGAUCGUUGGUGCAUUCGAUGUGUGCCGUUGUUUGUAAAAUUGCUCUAAAAGUUUAGAACAUUUAGAAAUGGGAAACCUCAAUUUGGCGAUAGCAGUAGUCGAAUAUGAAAACUUUUUAAAGUAUUUUGUUGUUUCUAAGCAGUACCGCUCGGUCUAUUUAUUUUACAGUAGUUCGUAACAUAGUUCCGAGAUAUUCCUAAUGCAGAAGGAGACAAGAAAAAUAAUGCACAGUUACUGAAAAAUGCAUCAACGUCAACCCGGGUGCUCGAAACAAUCCCGUGUCGAGUUCUAUUCUAUUCUAUUCUAUUCUAUUCUAACCCUUACACAGCCAGUAUUGAAAAGCAUCCUGGAAAACACCGCAGUUAUUCUUUAGUGUUUUUUGUCAACAUUAAUAUUUGAAACAUAUUAUGUGUAAUAUGUCGCAAAUAUUAAAACGGCCAGGCCUACUGUGCAGAGUUGGGUUAAAAGGUGUUUCAAAACUAUACGGCAAUUAAUUUAUUCAUUUAAUGAAUAAUUUAACUAACGAAUCGUUUUGAAUCUUGAAUGAGGAAGAAACGAGGACAACCGUACCGACCGUUUCAGUUUAUAGGGGAUUGGGAUAUAUCGUUGGGAGUGACUUGGCUAAGAAGUUUAAUGUCACUCCUUUGGUCCUUGGGGAUGGGGCAGAGGGAUUUACUCCUUGCCCUGGCUAAUAAGCCUAGGUUAAAGCACCUUUACUCGCUCUUGAAACAAUCCCGAGUCGAGUGAUUUAAAAGUACGAACAAAUUCUCACAACUUGCCGCCAAGUGCAAUCCGAGUGUCGUAGUGGAAAGGUUUUCUGUCGACCGCGGUCAAAGGUCAUUCGGAAAUCAAGGCUGAUCGCAGUACCUCAGUUUAUGAUUUGACAAAAAACUGAAUGCUGUACUGUACAACAAGCUACCGAGCAAGUAAACAACCGAGCCUCGCAUAACAAAUAGCGUUCAGAACGGGUCCGUAGGCUGUACGACCACGUGCUGAUAAAACUCGGUGUGAUUUGAUUGACGAUGAGAUAUCGUCGCUGUUGUGCUAUCUUAUGACAAGCGCCAUUUAGCACAUUUCGAGAAAAACGAUUUUUAAAGUUUGAAAUUGAAUAUCUUGAAACUUAUAAAUGGUAUAAACAAUCAAAAAAAACAAUUGAUGCUUCUAUCUAUUCUGUACUAAUCUCUCAAAUAUUACAAAGAUCGGUUGACUAUGUUGCGAGUUUUUACUAUGAAUGUAAACAAAAGUUGCACUCACACAUGUCAUAGGCGUGUAUUGAUGACAAAAUUUGUAUGACGUGUUAUAAUCGUGCAUGGAAAUUUUUCCAUAGGAAAAAAUCAUCAAUUUUUUACUUUUAUUCAUAUCUUUCGGUUCAUUUGGUCUAUAAACAAUCGGUGGGAUGCAUUUUAAAGGAAAUGAGUCAGGGAAUCUGGAAAAAAUAGUUAUUUUUGGUUACAGUGUUGCCAAAUAUGCUAUAUUUUCAGUUUAAAACAUAAAUUGUGUUUUUCACACAACUCUUGUAUGUUUCUAUUGAAAAUUUUUAUGCCAUUGUGUUCCUCAAAUAUUUUUACACAUAAAAACAUCUAAAACUUCAAUAUAACUUGAGCAAAUUCCUAGAUACAGUGAUUUGAAGCAAAAAACUUACAAUUUCUCAUCAUGUUUCUCGCUAUAUCUAAGCAACCACAUAUAAUUUCAAAAUACUGAAAACGCCACUUUGUAGAGUUUUUUUAGACAAGUAAUGUAGCAUAUCUAAAUCAGUUUACCCCGAAAUGGCGUUUGUCAUAAGAUAGCACAACAGCGACGAUAUAUGACAUUUUAAGCAAAUCCCUGGGCUCAAUUUCUACAAGGUUCAUACUCAACGUAAUGCUCCUAGAAGAUGCGAGUUUGUUUUUUGAGUAAGAGAAAAAUAGGAUUUGGCAAGAGAUCUAUUUUUGUGGCAAAAAACACAGCUGUUUGUGAUUGAUAAGACCAUGCACUCGGAAUCAUUUAAAAGGAAGUGCCUCUAGGCGUACAAUGGUACAACGAGUUAGUUCAACCCAAAAGAGCUGAGUCCGCUAAAUUGUUACCAGUUCCAUUUAAUAGACAAAUCUUGGGCGCCAAUGAAGCGCAAACUAAAGAUAAAGAGAGCAUUUAACAUCGGCUUUGAAUGGAUGAAGAAUAGGUGAAAGCAGCUAACAUCAACAAAAAAGUGCGAGAAUUUCUUUGAAAUAACAAUUAGUUCAGUGAAAUGAGGUUAUUGCGUUUGUUUAAUUCUUGCAAAACUUACCGACUGAAGAAAGGGUUUCGGAGUUAUGAGUACUUUCAACAGAAAGGCCUAAUUAUAAGUGUCCCGGAAAGUUUUUUUUAUCCUUUUAAUUUCGUACUGCAUCACAAAGGAAGCAAGCUUCACAAACUGUAACAUGAAAUAUAAAUUUAAUGUACGCAUCUAAAAAUAGUCUGCGUCUGACAAUUAUGUUAUUAGUAGAAUUUCGUCUUUUAGACACUACAAUACUAUUUAAGACUUAUUGAGCUUAGAAUGUAAAAAUACAAAUAUUCCUGAAGUUAAAAUGUUCGACCCAUUUCUAUUAGUUACUGUAUGAAAUCACACCGUGGUAGUUGGUGUUAAGAAUUGUCGUACCUAUUCGUCUUUUCCUCACGAUCAUCCCUGGGUACAAUAGCGGUGACAGCGAUGCAACAUGGAGGAGAAGUGGGGGAUCUAUUCCAUUUGAGAUUUGACAGAACUGCUACAUAGAUGUUUUCAACGUCGAGUGCCGAGAAAAUGUCUAAAAAUAUACCUAAUUCAAAUAUUAUUUUUUGGGAAGACAAACUAGCAAAAGGAAAAGCGACAAAAAAUAUGAGUGGUAAACAAACUGAAGCUACAAUUUUCACGAGAACAUGCAAUAAUUUUAAGCGGCCCAAAAUAAGCAUUUACAUGGGAUCCCAGUGAAUUUGUUCUUGUCUUCUGCCUCCGAAUGCCACACGACCUCUAGACUGGGUUUGUCCGUAGCAAGGUUAAAGUGGUUUCAACCUCCUAAUAGACAAUAACCCAAACCCCUUCGCAUCUUCCUACCUCUAUAUGAGAUAAACCCUUACUAGAUUCGAAUGAUAUCAGUGCCUCCUACUAAACAUUUCAGCAGUAAAAUUUUUACGUGGUGUUUUCAAUGAUGCAACGAAAUAUAUAAAACAAUCAAAAUUUUAUAUAGAAUUUGUAUGGGGUUAGACUUGCUGUUCUUUACUAAUUACCUGUAGUAGCAGCUAGCAAACCAGUGAGGAUAAAAAAUGCAUUUCUCUACGCAUUUCAUUUUAUAACAACAGCACAUAAACACAAGCACUAUCACAUACUCUGCUUUUAAAAACUUAAAUCACUGUUACUUUUAUUUCUUGUAGAUACCUAUUAACUCUUACUUAUCUGUUGGAAAUUUUGUUCACCAGCAAUUGCAAAUAAACAUUCGCCUUCAAACACGAAACUGGCUCGGUACAUAACCGGCAGCCGAAAACACCGCAACCCUGGUUACACCAAGCAACGCACAAAUCGAUGCUUACUUCGAUUUGAACCCAUAUUCGACAACACACGACCACCAAAUGAACUACCAUUUUUCACUAUUUUUUCUUCGCUCCAUCGCUUACCUACCUUCUCCGCUAAGCGGUAGCAGCAAUUGCUGUAUGCAUGAACAAGAUCGAACAAGUCGCGCGUGCAAAAUGGCUUCUGUGAUACUAAACAUAAACUUAUAAACUAAACUUCGAUAUAACGUACCCUCGAUAUAACGUACCCUCGAUAUAGCUUCACUCGAUAUAACGUACAUUUUUCCUCGAUAUAACGUACAUAUUUUAAAAAUUAUUUUUCUGGUCCAAAUUUCUCUUCAAUAACGCAUGUAUUCCAUAUUUUAAGAAUUGAAUAUGUUAUACACAAUCUUAAAACCUACUAAUUGGGCUUCUAUUGAGUAUGUUAGCAAUUGGCUACUUAAUUGAAGGUUUCGAGAGGUUUUUAUCCAAUUUAAUUUGCGUAUGAUCGUAGUUUACCAAAAGCAACCAUUUAUCUCAAUAAAUAAUACAUGGUCAGUAAGUUCUAACUGGAAACAAAAAAAACUAGAAUUAAUAAUAUUGGUGUGGCCAUUGAUGGAUGGUUUCGGGACGGCGAAAUCUGAUUCUAUGGGCUGAAUUACAAUGUUUAAGUUCCAUGGAAUGCUGCAACAAAAACAGCAUGUGAAAUGCAAUCAUACUUAAUAACAAUCAGAUACAGUUGCUUCACGAAACCCCGGAGUUAGGUUCUUCGAAUUACAGAUUCUUUUUAUCAUUCUCGACGUGUGGCUUAUCAAAUUACAUCAACAAUAUGAUCUACGAAUCAUAUUGAAAGUAAUGUGGACAUAUUUAACUCCGAUAUCGCAUAUUGCGGAAUUCAGUUCCCUGGACCGAUGAUUAAUUUUAAAGCUUACCUUCAUGUCUGGGCCACAAAAAGAAUAAUUACAUGGAACCACAUAAUUUUCUUAAAAGAAAAGUUGUUUCACACUGCUAAGUAGGUUAGAUUUUAAAAAUUAGUUACGUUUUGUUAAAAGCGGGGUUUACCUGAUUUCCAACACAACACUUUUACUCUGCAUUUAUAUGGAUUUGCAAUUUAAUAUUUGAGCUGCCGAUUCUCCCUUUUUCGGCUCAAAAACAAGAUUUAACCUGUUACUGGCUGGCAUAUGGCCAGCCUUUGAAAAGCACCUAGUCCCUGGUCAAGCCACGGGGACCGUCUGGGGUGGACUCUCACGGUCUCUUCUCUGGCUAGCUCGAUCGUGAAAGCACGAAGGCUUUCAGGGUCGGCUCCGCGGUCUACUUUGGGAUCAAGAGUUCGGAUAGUAGUAAUUGAAAGGCUAUUCCUCACUUUAAUCUUAUGUAUUACUCACAAUUGGUGUGUAUGUGUGGGUGUGUGUAUCGGGAUGCACUCGUUUACAUGUGGUCGGCCGACCUGCUGCUGCUGCUACUGGUGGGUAUUGGCUGAAUGUGCGCUGUACUGCUCGUUGCUGCUGUAGGUGACUGCUUUUGCGUUGAUAACUUCGGAGGGUCUCCCGCCCUUGACUGCAUACGACUCCGAAAGCGAGAAAAGGGCCGCGAGUGCGGUUAUACGGUGAACCAAUUAGCGAGUAGGGAUCGACUCUUGGUCCUUCUGGGAGAUAUUGUGUUGCCGCGGGUUUACUCCAAAGGCGUAGCUUGGAAAGGGCUCUAGCCCGUCGCAGCUCCGAACUUGAAUGCGUACGACCUCGAAAGCUGGAGAGCGUCCGCGGGUGCGGUUAUGUUUAAUUAGUCGGUCAAAGCCCGACGCUUUGUUUUCCGUAGUCCGGAAUCAGUCGGAAAUUUAAUGGGUCCUAGCGUGGUUUUGGAGAAGCUUGGGGUUAGGUCACAAUAUUUCUCGCUUGUUGCAGUUAUAUUUUUAUCUUAAUUUACCUGACUGCUAUGGUUGAAGCACGUCCAAUAUACUUCGGCUUGAACUACCGGUUAUUUAAUUUUCACUUUUAAAAUCAAACUUGCUAAUAUCGAUUUUUAGCGACCGUUCACGUUGGUUGUCUAGAUGAUAAAACCUUGGCUUCAAUACUUUACCCAGCUUCUCCCCACGGAUGUUCUAUAGAACGUUUUCAGGUGCAUAGUGCAGCAAUUUUCGCGUAGUGCAUUUGUGGUGUGUAUAAUGUCUGUUUUAGUACAAUUAUUUGAACUGCUCGUUAUACAUAUUCCUACGGAGUUUUUAAUUUUAGUUUAUUUUAUCCCUAAUUUUAAUUAUUUCUAGUUCUCUGACAAUUUUUAACCUAUUAGACUAUAAUCGAUUUUACAAUUAACAACAAUAUAAUAUUAUAGAUGAUAUCAAUAAUAAUUAACUCAUAAACGCAUGCCCAACCUAACACGUAUAUACAUGAAAAUCACCAUGAACGCUAGUAUGACUGUUUUCAUGAUUUUUGCUUCUCCUAUAAGGGCUUCAUAGGGUGUACGAUUCGAAACGGUAACAAACCCUCACAGUAAAAAGACACACUUUUUUCACUGCACUACGCGUUAGAACGCACCACAAAGCGUUCCGCUGAGCACAAAACACUUGCUAAGCUAGAACUCCUAUUAGUGAUAAAAACACUACCGAACCUAAAAAAAAUAACACGGAUACUGUUUACUGCGCUGAGAAAGAACAGGUUUGAAAAGUCAACCGAACCGGAACGCGAUUACUGAUGAGCUCUAUGACAAGCGCCAUUUACCACAUUUUAAGAAAAACUAUUUUUAAAGUUUGAGAUUGCAUAUCUUGAAUCUUAUAAAUGGUAGAAACAAUUCAGAAAAGGCAACUUAUUCUUUCAUCUUUUCUGUAUUAUUCUCUCAAAUAUUACGAAGAUCGGUUGACAAUAUUGAGAGUUUUAUUGUGCGUUGCAGGAUAAUCGCUCGAUAUGCGAUAUGAAAGCUCAACUCAGAUAGGCGCGUGAAAGCCGCCUAUACAAAUUCAUAGGAAGCUUUUUCCUUGGAGCUUUCGAAAAGCACAGGAGGCAGAAAAAUAAACAAACAAAGCAAGAGAAUACACUCUACAUUUAUUUUUAAUAAAGAUUGCUUCUCACUCCUAUAGUUCACUUAUGUUCGACUGUCUCAUUGGUUAGUGACUCCACUGAAAUCGGCUUGCGGAGCAACUGCGGCUAUAUUCUAUGCGCCUUUCGGACGCACGCAAUGUGAGACUUUAUUAUAAGCGCGACAAUAACUAAAAAUGUAAACAAAAGUCGCACUCUCUCCUGUCAUAGGGGUGACAAAAUUUGUAUGACGUGUCAUAGUUGCGCAUGGAAAAUUUUCUAUACAAAUAAAGCAUCAAUUAUUAACUUUUAUUCAUAUUUUCGGCUAAAUUUGGUCUAGAAACAAUCGGUUAGAUGCAUUUUUAAAACAUUUGGUCGAGGAAUCUAGAAAAAAUAGUAAUGCAUGCAUAUUUGUCUUUCAAAAAUUACUAUACCAUUGUGUUCCUCGAGCAUUUUUACAUAUCAAAUCAUCUAAAACUUCAACACAACUUGAGCUAAUCCCAAGAUACAGUGAUUUGAAGCAAAAACCCCAUAAUUACUUAUCACGUUUCUCGCUAUAUCUCAGAAACCAAACAGAAUUUCAAAAUUCUGAAAACGCCACUUUAUAGAGAUUUUUUAAACAAGGAAUGUGGCAUAUCUAACACCAAAAUUGCACUUGUCAUAAAAUAGCACAACAGCGACGAUAUGCGAACAAGAGAUGAGCGGGUAUGGGAUUUUUCGCACCCGGACCCGACCCGAACAUUAUUUAUCCGUCCCCGGAUUUUAUAAAAAUACAAAACCCGACACGUACCCGGCAUGAAAAAGAAUUCGAACCCAAACCCGACCCGAAUCCGACCCACACUCGCAUUAAAAAAAUUAAAAACCGUACCCGACCCGAACCCGAUUUUCAAUAAAUAAAUUUAACCUAUUUGAUUCGAAGGAGUAGGGGAACCUGAGGCGUUGGCGGGAUUUUAAUUUUUUAUCUCUUUGAUUGAAGAAUUGAACGCUCGGUAGUAUGCGUAGGAAAAAUUGUGUGCAACUUUGCCGCCGAUUAUUUCUUAUAAAGCAUUCAUUAAACUCUAAAAGAAUAA